CGUGUAGGCGGUUUGUACAGUCAGAUGUGAAAUCCCCGGGCUUAACCUGGGAGCUGCAUGUGAUACUGGUGGUGCUAGAAUAUGUGAGAGGGAAGUAGAAUUCCAGGUGUAGCGGUGAAAUGCGUAGAGAUCUGGAGGAAUACCGAUGGCGAAGGCAGCUUCCUGGCAUAAUAUUGACACUGAGAUUCGAAGCGUGGUAGCAAACA
rnacentral:rRNA from 1 species